rnacentral:misc_RNA from 1 species
AUACCUCAGGUCCUCAGUGCAGCAACAACUCGAAGAUGAUGGAGAACAAGAGAAGAGAUGCGACCGGCAAAUUUUGACAAUAGAAGAGAUUGCAAAGGGAAGAGGAGUCGGGGAGAAGAGAUUGUGAGGGGAAGAGGAGUCGGGCAGUAGCAAAUUUUGAAAAUAGAAAUUUUGAGUACUAUUGUUAAGUCAAAUCUUUUAAA